rnacentral:rRNA from 1 species
AUACGGAGGGUUCAAGCGUUAUCCGGAAUCAUUUGGUUUAAAGGGUCCGUAGGCGGGCUAUUAAGUCAGAGGUGAAAUCCCACAGCUCAACUGUGGAACUGCCUUUGAUACUGAUAGUCUUGAGUUACAGUGAAGUAGAUAGAAUAUGUAGUGUAGCGGUGAAAUGCAUAGAUAUUACAUAGAAUACCGAUUGCGAAGGCAGUCUACUAACUGUAUACUGACGCUGAUGGACGAAAGCGUGGGGAGCGAACAGGAUUAGAAACCCUAGUAGUCC